GCCAGCGUGGCCUAAUGGAUAAGGCACCGGCCUUCUAAGCCGGGGAUUGCGGGUUCGAUCCCCGCCGUUGGUA
rnacentral:tRNA from 1 species